UCUCUUGCUGUCUAUUUAAUAUACAAGUCCCAAACUUCCAACAGAAGUUAACCAAAGAAUUACUGAAUAUCUGGAUCUCAUCAGAACACACAUGCAAAAGCAAUGGGCUUUCACACUGAUGCAUUGUAAGGUAGGCCAGGCACAAAGG